AGCGGAGUGGCGCAGUGGAUGCGUUUUUGGCCCCUAACCCAGAAGUACGUGGAUCGAAACCAUGCUCUGCUA